GGGAUCGAACCCAGGCCCCCUGCAUUGUGAGCUCAAGUCUUCCCCACUGGACCACCAGGGAGGUCCCUGUUCUGUGCUCCCUUUAGUCUUGACUCUCAUGUAUUCAUUUUUGGUGUUAAACAAAUCACAGUUUUUAAAAGCUUUAAUCUUCAUUUCCUCAUGGAAAACUUAGUAUUCAUGAUACCUACUCCCAGGAUUGUUGUGAGAAGAAAAUUAGAUUAAAAUAGGAAAAGGCAGUUUUAAAGCUGAAACAUUACAAAUUUUAGGUAUUGUUGUUUUGAUUGCAGUUAUUUCAUGUCCAAAUUGAGAAAGCUUUGUGAUUGUUGACAUAAUGAUAUCAUCCAGGAGUUUGGAAUAAGUGUGUACAUCAGCGGAUUUUAUGAUUACAAAAAAUAGCUAUGUUUACUUUUCUACUAAUUCUCCUUCAGUGGAAUGUUCCCAUUUUCUCAUGAAGUGGGGGGAGAUCCACAUAUGUUUAUUAAAGAAAGCAAGCCUCGUAUUUUUUAUCCUUUGAACCGAGAGGCUACAUGUUAUUCAUUGUUUUUGAGUCAGGCUACCUGGGUAAAUUCCCAAUCCUCUACCUACUUGCAACCAUGGAUAAACCUCAGUUUCCUCAUAUGUAAAAUAGGGGUGGUAAUAAUACAGAUUCGUAUGAAGAUGAAAUGGGAAAUGUAUGUAUAGAAUACAUAGCAGAGUGCCUGGCGCAGAGUAAGCAUUCAGUAAUGUGGGCUGUUGUUGUGACUAUCAUUAUUAAACUGCAGCAUGAAGAAGAGGCAAAAAGGUUGUGUGUGAAAGUCAAGGGCAGGAGGGAAUAAAAAGACAAGGGGGACAGCUUUGAAAAUGGUCUGAUCAUCCUGCAAAUGACAAUCCAAGCAAUUCCCACGACUUUUGAAAAUCAAAGACUUCCCUGUUGCUUCCAAUGAGAAAAUGAACCAUAGUCAUUUGUAAUGUCCAUGUUCCUGUAACAAUCAAAAUCACAGUCUUGCUUGAAAGUUACAUGUCUUCCCUUUCCCAGCAUGAGCACGCAGAAGGCAAAGAGCUGUAGGAAAUGGGAGUCCUCGCCUCUCUCUCUCUCUCUCUCUCCCUCUCCCUCCUUCCCUUUCCCUCUCCUUCUCCCCCCACCCCUCUCUCUCUGAAGUGCUCCUACUUCUUCUCUAUCUUGGUAACUGAAGUUUCUUGCUGCUCUAGGGUUAGAGCUCAUAGCAGAGAAAAGGUUGGGGAGAUAAGAAAGUUCUUACUUGACAAGGACUGUUGAUGAUCCAGUACUUAAAACUGGCCCUCUCCAUUUGGUCUGUGUUUAAAACUGGCCCUUCUUCUAGCAGGUGCUUCUUUGUUUCCCAGAGCUCCCUUGACCUGCAGAAGUGCAUUUGUAUUUGGUCAUCCACAGUCUCAAGGAGUCAUUCUGAAGUACACCCCUUGCUGCUUUUUGCUCUGAUACCUACUUUCCAGCGGAUGAUCCUGAACAGGAUCUAAGACAGCUAGCGCUAUCUUGCAUGGCUCAGAUCUGGUCCAAGGGAAAUACUUUACCUUCAAAAGCUCAGAGGGUAAUGAGGAUACAAUUUUCAAUCCCUGGGUAGCCCUUUGAAGCUCUUUGCCUUACACUUGCGGUAAGCAAACAACCCCAUAGAUCUUCUGGUCAGAUUCACACAGCAUGCUGGCAACUUGCUCCAAAAACUUUCAUCUUCAAAAAUCUCCAACUCUUUUUGCCUCUGACAUGGAUAAAUGGUUAUAUCUUAACCUGCAUAACCUGCCUGGCAUGCUUCCUUUGAAAAUGUUGCUUUAUACCGUUGUAUUUCCCUUUGGAAUGUGGUGUCUAGUGUUCAGUACUUGAGUCAAAACUUGCACUUUAAUUCAAGGUAAAAGGGGGAGAGGACCGCUUUGGGGAUGCUUUGAUUUCACAGACCAUCACCCCAAAGUUGGUGGUGCUGCAGAGGAAAAUAUGGUUUACGCAUGCAGGUGUUAUUGGGAGCCUCAUGAAUGCCCACCCUAAUCACAAAGUAAAGAUGUAACGGUAUAACUUUUUAAAAUGUGAAAACACACAUAAAUGUGUACAGAUAUAUACAACUCUGAGCUCAUGCCAAAAAUGUGUGUGACUGCCUUGUGAUAGCUUUGGAGCGGGUGAUGUGCUCCAAAGAGAUGAAAAUACCUGGAAAGAUUUUGUGGACCAGUCAACUCUGAGCCAACUUGAGGAUAUGGAGGCAAGAGUCCAAAAGGAAAAGAGAGAGAGAGAGAGAGAGAGAGAUGGAUUCUUCUAAAUUUUGUGCAACACUCAUGUAAAUAGGAGCUAGCAUUUAAACACAUAGCAUGGUGCACCAAGGUUGGUGAAAAGACGGUGUACCGGUAGGUCUGAAAAUGGGGGAAGUGUGUAAUAAGUGCUACAUUAGAUGAAGCAAGGUUUAAAAGGGUGUUACUGAAUUGGAAGCAUCAAAAUGGACUUAUGACUUUAAAAAGCCCCCCUCUAAAGCUGAAAGAGUAGAAGCGGUCCCUGGUAUCACACUACCUACAGCCACAAGGUAUGUGGGAAAAUCUAAUAUAUCCUCUAGGCGCUGGGUUUUGAUGUCUUCUGCUCUUCUCACGGAAAGGAACUCAGAGGAUAACUGGUACCAGAUCUUGGGAAAAUAUUGAAAGGAGCUAAGAAUGGGAAGGCAUAGCUAAGAAAUGUUUGCCAAAGAAGAGGAAUUGUGAUACUUCCUACCAGAUGUGAGAAUGUAUUAUGAAGCUUGAGUAAUUAAAAGUGUGGUUCCCCAGCAGACUUUUCCAAGAAGGGAUACGCCGCCCCAAUGCAGAUCACACUAAAUUAGAACAUAGUGUGUAGAACCGGAAGUAUUAAAAACCAAUGUGAAAGGGGAAACUAGAUUUUUAGAGGAAAGUUGGGUUAAAAACCUCACCUUGCAUACUAUAUCAAAAUACAUUUUAAAGCUGAAACAUAAGGGAAAGAAGAACAUGGAGGUGAAUUUAGCUUAUUUUUUUCUAAGUAAAGGACUCUCUAAGCCUAAAAAGAUACAGGGUAAGUCACAAAGGAAAAAUAUGUGUAUUUGGCUGCAGAAAAUUAAGUACUUUUGUGUCAUAAGAUAUUAUCAACCAAAUUAAAUGGAAAAUGUGGAACUGGGAAGUGUUUUUGCAAUACAUGUGGCUGAUAGCUUUAGAACUAACAACAAAAAUCACAUUUGUGAUAAUUCAAUAAGAAACACAUAUUAACCCAGUAGAAAAAGGACAAAUGUCACAAAUAAUUGACAAAAGAAAAAAUUACAGGUGACUAAUAAACAUAUACUUAACCCUAAACGUAUAAAAAUUUAGGUUUUUAUGUUAAUCAAAAAAAGGGAAAAUAAAAAGGCCCUACUCAUUUGUGACCUACGAGAUUGACAAAGGUUACAAAUGGCAACACUUCGUAAGGAUACAGCAGGAGAGCAUUCCAGCCACUGCUGAUGGGAAUAUGGGCUCUGCAGUCUUUUUUGGAGAUGACUUUUGACCAUCUGCAUAAAGGACUUAGGUCAUAAUUAUAAACUUUUUACCCAGUAACCCCAUAUUAGACUCGAUCUGGUAAACAUAAUAAGAGAAUAUUUGAAUAUUAAUAUGCAAGAAUAUACAUUACACUCACUAUUGAUGUGAAAAACUAAAACCUCUUAAGUGUUCAAUACUGAGAGAACAGAAAAAUAAAUUAUUGUUUAUGUACUUAUGUAUUGUUAAGGCAGGAAAGAUGUUCAGUAAAGUGUUAAAACUGGUUGUGUUUUAGGGGUAAGGAUGGAAUCAAGUUUUAUAGAAGGAUGUAUCUUUUUUUCCUUUUUAUACUUUUGUAAUUUGUUUUACCUCUCAAAAUUAGUGUGUAUUAUUUCUAAAAUUUCUAAAAUUCAUAAAAAAUGUAUAUCUUUUUAUAUAUAUAAUGAAGUGCAGAAUUGGUAAUGAUAAAACGUUAGGUGAAAAAAAUCAGGGUAUAAAAUACAUAUGCGAGGGGCUUCCCUGGUGGUGCGGUGGUUAAGAAUCUGCCUGCCAGUGCAGGGCACACGGGUUCGAGCCCUGGUCUGGGAAGAUCCCACA